UGGGGAAUAUUGGACAAUGGGCGCAAGCCUGAUCCAGCCAUGCCGCGUGUGUGAAGAAGGCCUUUUGGUUGUAAAGCACUUUAAGCGAGGAGGAGGCUACUUGGAUUAAUACUCUAGGAUAGUGGACGUUACUCGCAGAAUAAGCACCGGCUAACUCUGUGCCAGCAGCCGCGGUAAUACAGAGGGUGCGAGCGUUAAUCGGAUUUACUGGGCGUAAAGCGUGCGUAGGCGGCUUCUUAAGUCGGAUGUGAAAUCCCUGAGCUUAACUUAGGAAUUGCAUUCGAUACUGGGAAGCUAGAGUAUGGGAGAGGAUUGUAGAAUUCCAGGUGUAGCGGUGAAAUGCGUAGAGAUCUGGAGGAAUACCGAUGGCGAAGGCAGCCAUCUGGCCUAAUACUGACGCUGAGGUACGAAAGCAUGGGGAGCAAACAGG
rnacentral:rRNA from 1 species